UACAGGGGGGGCAAGCGUUGUUCGGAAUUACUGGGCGUAAAGGGCUCGUAGGCGGCCAACUAAGUCACACGUGAAAUCCCCAGGCUUAACCUGGGAACUGCGUGUGAUACUGGAUGGCUUGAAUUCGGGAGAGGGAUGCAGAAUUCCAGGUGUAGCGGUGAAAUGCGUAGAUAUCUGGAGGAAUACCGGUGGCGAAGGCGGCAUCCUGGAUCGACAUUGACGCUGAGGAGCGAAAGCUAGGGGAGCAAACGGG
rnacentral:rRNA from 1 species